GAUGAACGCUGGCGGCGUGCUUAACACAUGCAAGUCGAACGGAAAGGCCUCAGCUUGCUGGGGUACUCGAGUGGCGAACGGGUGAGUAACACGUGGGUGAUCUGCCCUGCACUUUGGGAUAAGCUUGGGAAACUGGGUCUAAUACCGAAUAUGACCACUUCUUGGAUGUUGUGGUGGAAAGCUUUUGCGGUGUGGGAUGAGCCUGCGGCCUAUCAGCUUGUUGGUGGGGUAAUGGCCUACCAAGGCGGCGACGGGUAUCCGGCCUGAGAGGGUGUACGGACACAUUGGGACUGAGAUACGGCCCAGACUCCUACGGGAGGCAGCAGUGGGGAAUAUUGCACAAUGGGCGCAAGCCUGAUGCAGCGACGCCGCGUGGGGGAUGAAGGCCUUCGGGUUGUAAACUCCUUUCGCUAUCGACGAAGCCACUUGUGGUGACGGUAGGUAGAUAAGAAGCACCGGCUAACUACGUGCCAGCAGCCGCAGUAAUAC
rnacentral:rRNA from 1 species